AUCCAAUUAAUGAGUGCCAAAUAGCACGAAACACGCGUCCUGGAU
rnacentral:hammerhead_ribozyme from 1 species